rnacentral:ncRNA from 1 species
CUACGGACUUAGAUAACUGAGCCUUGAUGGAGAAAUCCAGCAAGUGACUGCUCUCAAAUUCAGGGAAACCUAAAUCUGAUAACAGAUAUGGCAAUCCUGAGCCAAGCCAAGUUUGUCUUUUGUCCUUCGUUUUUAGUUAAUUGUUACUAGCAAAUGACUAACAACAAAUGACGAAUGAUCAAUGCGGAAGGUGCAGAGACUCGACGGGAGCUACCCUAACGUAAAGUCGAGGGUAAAGAGAGAGUCCAAUUCUCAAAGCCUUAUUGGGUG